rnacentral:rRNA from 1 species
AUGUCGUACACAUCCACGGAGAUGGUGUGCUGGAACAUUAGGGGGCUCAACAGCCCUGCAAGGAGGAAAACUCUUAGGGAGUUUGUAGCCACGUUGCGAGCCGCCAUCGUAUGUAUCCUGGAGACAAAACUAGAGAGGGUGGAUAAAUACACCAUAAUGCAAUGUCUUGGACCCUCUUAUGAUGGGUUUAUGUACCUACCGGCGUCUGACACGAGAGGAGGCCUCUUCGUGGGAUGGGACUCC